rnacentral:rRNA from 1 species
CCGCCUGCCCUGUGACUAUAUGUUUAACGGCCGCGGUAUCUUAACCGUGCGAAGGUAGCGUAAUCACUUGUCUUUUAAAUGAAGACCUGUAUGAAUGGCAUCACGAGGGCUUAACUGUCUCCCCUCUCCAGUCAAUGAAAUUGACCUCCCCGUGCAGAGGCGGGGAUAUUUAUAUAAGACGAGAAGACCCUGUGGAGCUUUAGACCUAAAGUAAACCACGUUUAAUGUACUAAAAUUAAUAGCAAAAACUUAGUGGACAUUUAUUUAAGUGUCUUUGGUUGGGGCGACCGCGGAGUAAAACAUAACCUCCAUGUGGACGGGGAUACUUUCCCUGAAACUCAGAGCCUCCACUCCAAGCAACAGAAAUUCUGACCUUACUGAUCCGGUACAACCGAUUAACGAACCCAGUUACCCCAGGGAUAACAGCGCAAUCCCCUCUCAGAGCUCAUAUCGACGAGGGGGUUUACGACCUCGAUGUUGGAUCAGGACAUCCUAGUGGUGCAGCCGCUAUUG